UUCUGAGCUCAUUCGGUCAGUUUGGCAAAAUGUCAUCAAACAGGCAUCGACCGUUUUGGAUGUAAAAAAGCUGCCUCGAAAAAGCAGGGAAGGUGGAAUGCAAAAUCCCAUGCAGAAAAACUUCUUGAAGGCAGAGUUGAAAACGAAUGCAUUGCUUGGUGCGUUGGCAAUCAUUCUUCAUUGUUUGGACUACAGCUGGAUGUUUGUAGAACGAGUUUGAAAUUGUUGAAGAUUUCCCUUGUGAAUAACUAUUAAU